rnacentral:tRNA from 1 species
GACACAAUGGGUCAACGGUAGAUCGUCUCCAACUUAAGGAGAAAAUCACGGUUCGAAUCCGUGUUGUGGCA